rnacentral:rRNA from 1 species
CUGGGCGUAAAGCGUGCGCAGGCGGAUUGUUAAGCAAGACGUGAAAGCCCCGGGCUUAACCCGGGAAUGGCGUUUUGAACUGGCAGUCUAGAGUGCGUCAGAGGGGGGUGGAAUUCCACGUGUAGCAGUGAAAUGCGUAGAGAUGUGGAGGAACACCAAUGGCGAAGGCAGCCCCCUGGGAUGACACUGACGCUCAUGUACGAAAGCGUGGGUAGCAAACAGGAUUAGAUACCCUGGUAGUCCACGCCCUAAACGAUGUCAACUGGUUGUUGGGGGAGUGAAAUCCCUUAGUAACGAAGCUAACGCGUGAAGUUGACCGCCUGGGGAGUACGGUCGCAAGAUUAAAACUCAAAGGAAUUGACGGGGACCCGCACAAGCGGUGGAUGAUGUGGAUUAAUUCGAUGCAACGCGAAAAACCUUACCUACCCUUGACAUGUCCAGGAUCCUGCAGAGAUGCGGGAGUGCCCGAAAGGGAAUUGGAACACAGGUGCUGCAUGGCUGUCGUCAGCUCGUGUCGUGAGAUGUUGGGUUAAGUCCCGCAACGAGCGCAACCCUUAUCAUUAGUUGCUACGCAAGGGCACUCUAAUGAGACUGCCGGUGACAAACCGGAGGAAGGUGGGGAUGACGUCAAGUCCUCAUGGCCCUUAUGGGUAGGGCUUCACACGUCAUACAAUGGUCGGUACAGAGGGUUGCCAAGCCGCGAGGUGGAGCCAAUCCCAGAAAGCCGAUCGUAGUCCGGAUUGUUCUCUGCAACUCGAGAGCAUGAAGUC